rnacentral:lncRNA from 1 species
GUUGUGGCGGCGGCGGUUGUUGUUGGUCGGCGCGCCGCUGCUGCUGCUUCCAAAGAGGCCGCGGCAGUAUUCAUAGUCGGGCGUCUCGGGAAAGGAGAGGGCGCGCGCAUAGGCCAGAAAGCGGGCAAAGCACGGCGGGAGGCCGGCGCAGAUGACGUCGACGCCCGUCUUGGCCUUGCAGUCGCGGAUGCGCGCGCAGCGCUUGGCCUUGUUGUGGCCCGGCACGCUGUCCCACGGCAGCGAGCCCUUGGCCAACUGGACCAGCGUGUAGGCCAGGGCUUCGAGAUCGUCCCUCCGACUUUGCACUGUGCCAUUGCGCCGCCGCAUUGAGAUUGUCAUUGUCGAUCGUCCCGUGCACCGCCCAAAAGAAGAAUGCACACACAAUCAAAAAAAAAAGAAAAAGAGAAUACACAGGGGGAGCGCGUGUCAGCAAGGCAACAACAACAACAGCAGACACGAUGAUGGCAUAAAAGAAUGGCUUGUCGGCAGCAAACCGUGCGAUUCGCCGUCACAAAAAAAACAAUGCCAACAAGAAUAAUAAAAAUAAUGGUGGUGACAACAAC